rnacentral:rRNA from 1 species
GACGAACGCUGGCGGCGUGCUUAACACAUGCAAGUCGAACGGAAAGGCCCUGCUUUUGUGGGGUGCUCGAGUGGCGAACGGGUGAGUAACACGUGAGUAACCUGCCCUCGACUUUGGGAUAACUUCAGGAAACUGGGGCUAAUACCGGAUAGGAGCUCCUGCUGCAUGGUGGGGGUUGGAAAGUUUCGGCGGUUGGGGAUGGACUCGCGGCUUAUCAGCUUGUUGGUGGGGUAGUGGCUUACCAAGGCUUUGACGGGUAGCCGGCCUGAGAGGGUGACCGGCCACAUUGGGACUGAGGUACGGCCCAGACUCCUACGGGAGGCAGCAGUGGGGAAUAUUGCACAAUGGGCGGAAGCCUGAUGCAGCAACGCCGCGUGCGGGAUGACGGCCUUCGGGUUGUAAACCGCUUUCGCCUGUGACGAAGCGUGAGUGACGGUAAUGGGUAAAGAAGCACCGGCUAACUACGUG